rnacentral:rRNA from 1 species
AUACGUAGGGGGCGAGCGUUGUCCGGAAUGAUUGGGCGUAAAGGGCGCGUAGGCGGCGCGGUAAGUCUGGAGUGAAAGUCCUGCUUUCAAGGGGGGAAUUGCUUUGGAUACUGCCGCGCUUGAGUGCAGGAGAGGUUAUCGGAAUUCCCGGAGUAGCGGUGAACUGCGUAGAGAUCGGGAGGAACACCAGUGGCGAAGGCGGGUAACUGGACUGCAACUGACGCUGAGGCGCGAAAGUGUGGGGAGCAAACAGGAUUAGAUACCCUGGUAGUCCACGCUGUAAACGAUGAUGACUAGGUGUGGGGGGACUGAACCCUUCCGUGCCGCAGUUAACACAAUAAGUCAUCCACCUGGGGAGUACGGCCGCAAGGUUGAAACUCAAAUGAAUUGACGGGG